rfam:Harpegnathos saltator strain R22 G/1 HarSal_1.0_3.contig164, whole genome shotgun sequence.
AAACCGGCCCUUUUCAGGGCCACAAGAUGUACAAAUUCCGAUUGGG